rfam:Triticum aestivum genome assembly, contig: Triticum_aestivum_CS42_TGACv1_scaffold_130789_2BL
CUUAUACUCCCUCCGUCCGAAAAUACUUGUCAUCAAAAUGGACAAAAAGGGAUGUAUCUAGAACUAAAAUACAUCUAGAUACAUCCCAUUUUAUUCACUUUGAUAACAAGUAUUUCCGGACAGAGGGAGUAUUAA